rnacentral:rRNA from 1 species
UACAGAGGUGGCGAGCGUUGUUCGGAUUUACUGGGCGUAAAGGGUGCGUAGGUGGUCUUGUAAGUCGGAUGUGAAAUCCCACUGCUCAACGGUGGAACUGCAUCGGAAACUGCAAGACUGGAGUGCAGGAGGGGAGAGCGGAAUACUUGGUGUAGCGGUGAAAUGCGUUGAUAUCAAGUAGAACACCGGUGGCGUAGGCGGCUCUCUGGAAUGCAACUGACGCUGAGGCACGAAAGCUAGGGGAGCAAACAGG